rnacentral:lncRNA from 1 species
AUAACAGAGGAUCAGAAAAAUAGGAAUCAAAUGCAAAAGCAUACAUAAUGAAAUAUAUGAUGUAUGGAUGUAUAUGUAUAUAUGAUUGAUGAUUAUGAUGAUAAAAUAAUCACGAAGGAUACAAAUGUCACUAAUCUGAAUCAUCGCUACAACACUCGGCUAAUCUCGACAGGAUGGAAACACCAACUGGAGAAAAAUGUUAGGGAUGAACACAAGCCAUCCAUCUCUGAAUAAC